rnacentral:rRNA from 1 species
AUGGAGGUCGAGCAGAUCCUCUCCUUCGCCACAAACUAUGUGAACAACAACGCCGAUCUGGCCUGCCACGUCCUCGCGCAGAACGGGGUACCAGCCGACGCGGUCCUCUCGGCGGCCAUGAAAAGAGGGCUGAAGGCCAGAGAGGAGGUCUACGCCACCCUGCUGGAGCAGCUACUCGCCUCCUUCGCUAAUCCAUUGGAGGACACCCAGCUGAGGGAGUGGGAGUGCCCCCCCAAACCCCAAUAUUCUCUCACCGAGAAGAGGAGCGGUCCAAGACAGGACCCCAAAUGCCCCUUCUUUCUCAUCAAUGUGAAGGUGUCGGCCAAGACGGCGCAGAUAUCGUGGUCGAUGAAGAAGUAUCCCCGCUUCCCCCGGGAGCGAGCGAUGCACGAUGCUUUACGCGUGAACUCGGGGAUUUCAUGUAGAGCAGGCAGGGGAAGGCGGGCAGCCGGGCGCCCUCUCCUACUUCAUCGACGCCACAUACAGUGGGUGGCCGCGGCCCAAAGAGGGCAUCUUCGAGGAAGGCUCUUCUGUGCCUUUCAGGGAGGUCGCCGUCAUCAAGAGGUUGCCUGGUGGUGA